ACAACAGGUUGAUAUUCCUGUACUACCGAUAACCGUUUGAGAGAAGGGAUGACACAGUAGGAUAAGCUAAGCACACUGUUGGGUAUGUGUGCCCAAGCAUUGAGGCAGUCAAAGUAGGCAAAUCCGCGUUGAUAAUGCUGGGAUGUGAUGGGGAGCGAAAUUUAGUAGCGAAGUAGCUGAUUUCACACUGUCAAGAAAAGUCUCUAUCGA
rnacentral:rRNA from 1 species